rnacentral:rRNA from 1 species
UAACACGAGGAAACUUGUGCUAAUACCGGAUAAGUCUUUACGGAGAAAGCUUUAUGCACCAUUGGAUGAGCCUGCACUUGAUUAGUUUGUUGGUGGGGUAAUGGCCUACCAAGACUGUGAUCAAUAGCUGAUUUGAGAGGAUGAUCAGCCACAUUGGGACUGAGACACGGCCCAAACUCCUACGGGAGGCAGCAGUGGGGAAUCUUGCACAAUGGAGGAAACUCUGAUGCAGCGAUGCCGCGUGAGUGAAGAAGGCCCUUGGGUUGUAAAGCUCUUUCGUCGGGGAAGAAAAUGACUGUACCCGAAUAAGAAGGUCCGGCUAACUUCGUGCCAGCAGCCGCGGUAAUACGAAGGGACCUAGCGUAGUUCGGAAUUACUGGGCUUAAAGAGUUCGUAGGUGGUUGAAAAAGUUAGUGGUGAAAUCCCAGAGCUUAACUCUGGAACUGCCAUUAAAACUUUUCAGCUAGAGUAUGAUAGAGGAAAGCAGAAUUUCUAGUGUAGAGGUGAAAUUCGUAGAUAUUAGAAAGAAUACCAAUUGCGAAGGCAGCUUUCUGGAUCAUUACUGACACUGAGGAACGAAAGCAUGGGUAGCGAAGAGGAUUAGAUACCCUCGUAGUCCAUGCCGUAAACGAUGUGUGUUAGACGUUGGAAAUUUAUUUUCAGUGUCGCAGGGAAACCGAUAAACACACCGCCUGGGGAGUACGACCGCAAGGUUAAAACUCAAAUGAAUUGACGGGGACCCGCACAAGUAGUGGAGCAUGUGGUUUAAUUCGAAGAUACGCGCAGAACCUUACCAACACUUGACAUGUUCGUCGCGACUCUAAGAGAUUAGAGUUUUCGGUUCGGCCGGACGAAACACAGGUGCUGCAUGGCUGUCGUCAGCUCGUGUCGUGAGAUGUUGGGUUAAGUCCCGCAACG